rnacentral:piRNA from 1 species
UGGGUGCUAAGAGCUUGACUAAUACUUGA